rnacentral:rRNA from 1 species
UGUUUAUCAAAAACAUUACCUUAAGAACAAUAAUUUAAGGCAAGCCCUGCCCAGUGAGUUUAUCUUCAACGGCCGCGGUAUCCUAACCGUGCAAAGGUAGCAUAAUAAUUUGCCUAUUAAUUGUAGGAUAGAAUGAAAGGGUAAACGAAAUAAAGCCUGUCUCAAUUAAUAACAUGAAAAUUAUUUUUUAGCUGAAGAAAGCUAAAUAAAACUGAAGGACAAGAAGACCCUAUAGAGCUUUAUUUUAAUACUCAUAAUGACCAAUUCAAAUUCGGUUGGGGCGACCAGUGCUUUAAUAAUCAUCACCCAAAAUAAGACAUAUUAGUCCCCUUAAAGACCCUAUCUAAGAUCAAAAGAACAAGCUACCUUAGGGAUAACAGGCUAAUCUCAUUAAAGAGUUCCUAUCUAUAAUGUUGGUUGGCACCUCGAUGUUGGCUUAGGGAAUCAAAGUGGCGCAGAAGCUUCUUAAGUUGGUUUGUUCAACCAUUAAACCCCUACGUGAUCUGAGUUCAG